rnacentral:lncRNA from 1 species
CGGGGAAGAAGACACAGGUGGCUGGUCAUCGAGAGCCCGCUGGGGGAAGAGCACACAGACAGGCACCGGCAGGCCAUUGACCAGCGGGACAAGGGGUGCUCAAUGUCAUCACAAGGGUCCUUAAGAGGGAAAGAGGAAGCCAUGAGGGUCAGAGUCAAAGGAAGACUUGAAGAUACUACACUGAGGACUUUAAAGAUGAAGGAAGGGGCGAAAACCAAGAAUGUGGGAAGCCUCUAGAAGCUAGAGAAGGCAAGGAAACAGAUUUUCCACUAGAGCCUCCAGAAGGAACACAGCCCUGCUGACCCACUGUAAUGUCUGACCUCUAGAUGUGUAAGGGUAGUAAGACUGAAAGUCUCAGAAAGGCACUGUUACAUUCUUAUUCCACAACCAUGCAACUCAAAACUGGGGUCCUCAGCAAUGAGCGAGGGGCGAGAGAAGGCACUGUAUAAACAUGGCACAUCCUCCUGGAAAGUCAACUUUACUCAAAGGUUCUUACACACAGUGACAGCUAGCAGAGUCUAAAGUGCUGACAUUAUGACUUAGAGAUGUGAUAAAGAGAAACAUCUAUUGCAUUUUCUUGGCUCGUGUGGAAUGACUUAUCCUGGAAUUUAGAGUUGAAGAUAAUCCUGAUGCUUCAAAGAGAAGAGUUGGAACACAGUCCUUUUUCUAAACAGAGGAAUUGUUGAAUAUGCAACUGGUCCUCUGACUUAACUAAUUAUUUAAUUUGGAAGUUAUAGGCUUUUUAUCACUUGAGGAGCAGCUUUCUCUGAACAAAUACAGUGUCCCCUGGGGUGUCCAAAAUUGUGACAGAAAAGUAGCGCCAGCUUGAAAUUAGCUAGUCAUCACACAGUGGCGUCAUGUGAAUGAAGACUCCCCCAAAUCUAUGACUCUCUUCUAUCCUUAUGAACUAAUUCAAUAAAUAAAUGAGCACUUUCUCAGUUCCCAAACUGAGAGCAGUUUUAAAAAAUAAUGAGAGCCCAGAUAUCUAUUUAGAGAGAUGGCGAGACAGAGGAGAGAGCAAGUUGCACACCACGAAACAAAGGGAAAGAUAAGAAGAGAGAGUGUGUCACUACUUCCCCGUGGCAGAAUCACAAUCUUCUUUUGGAUGUCAUGUUGAAAAGAUUCCCAAUUCGUAGUUCUGUGAGCUAAAGCAGAUGGAUGCUCCAUGUUGGUACAAAUUCCUAUUUGAAGCAGUGUGGUUGCAAAGAUGGGGUUUGGGUCAUUUGAUUUUCUCUGAAAAACAAUCUUGUGUAACUGUUAAAAGAAUU